CCUACGGUAGGCAGCAGUGAGGAAUUUUGCGCAAUGGGGGAAACCCUGACGCAGCAACGCCGCGUGGGCGAUGAAGGCCUUCGGGUCGUAAAGCCCUGUCGGCCGGGAAGAACGCUCUUGGUCGAAGGACUGGGGGGUGACGGUACCGCCAGAGGAAGCACCGGCUAACUCCGUGCCAGCAGCCGCGGUAAUCCGGAGGGUGCAAGCGUUAUUCGGAAUUACUGGGCGGAAAGGGCGUGCAGGCGGGAGAGCAAGUCUGAUGUGAAAGCCCGGGGCUUAACCCCGGAAGGGCAUUGGAAACUG
rnacentral:rRNA from 1 species